AGUGCAGCAAGAGUGUACCAGUCGGAUAAGAAAUGUUGUCCCUCAAAAAAAUAGAGCUCACUUAUUCUUUUGCCUGUCAUUAGUUCUAACAAUACCACUCCAAAUGCAUAAACAUCAACUUUCUGUGUAAUUUUUCCACCAUCAAUGUACUCUGGUGCCAGAUACCCUGAAGUUCCAAUCACUCGUUCUUCUGUACUAAUGUUCCAUUCAGAGUGCCACCUAGCAAGCCCAAAAUCAGCAGCCAGGGGUUCAAAAUCAUGCGUUACGAGGAUAUUAUUGGGCCUCAUAUCUCUGUGUACUAUACAACCCACUCUACAUUCUUCAUGAAGAUAUCUUAAGCCCCUAGCUGUCCCAAUUGCUAUUUUCAUCCGUGAGUGCCAAUCUAGAGGUGCUCUCUUGUUUCCAUGCAAAUGGAAGUCCAGGGAGCCAUUGCAUAUGUACUCAUAGACCAAUAUUCUCUUUUUCCCAUCAAUGCAAAAC
rnacentral:misc_RNA from 1 species